CUUCUGUUAGCUACUUCUUAGGAACUCUCCCUUUAUUCUUGCAUGUAAUUUGAACGUGGUUUUCCCUAUAUAAAUCACAGUUUCAGUUUCAAUAAAAGGAAAGAAAUAUUUAUCCAAAAAAGUUCUAAUUGUGAUACAAUUCUCACCCGAAGAGAAUUAUUAUUUUUUUCAUCAUUUUAUGUGCCUCUAAUUGGGACCUAUCAAUUGGUAUCAAAGCUGUAUUAUCAUCGCUACAAACAAGGAAAGGAUUGAAGCCUUGGAGCAGGACUCGGUGGGGUUCAAAAUGGACUGCAGCAAAUGGGGAUUGACGUUGCUGACAAGUUGAACCAACUGGAGGACCAUCCAAAAGCUUUCCGCCGCUAUCCUUUUAAACAGUGCUUCAUCCAGCCACAACAAUCAUGAAUGUGAAGUACCCUUCCACUCACAUUGCGAGGAGAAUGAAAGUGGCCGCCAACCCUUCUCUUCCAAAGUGGCAAAGCUGAAAUUUCCAAAGUACAAUAGUGACAAGCCGACAGAAUGGUUCACCCGUGUGGCCCAAUUUUUUGAGUAACAAGACACCCUCAACAACCAAAAAGUAUCCAUUGCUUCUUACCAAUUGGAGGGAGAAGCAAAUCAAUGGUGGCAAUGGUUGCGUAUGACAUAUCAACAAGAGCACAGGCUGAUUGCAUGGGAGCUCUUCUCUAAAGAGAUGUGGGGAUGUUUUGGGCUGACGGAAGGAGAGGAUUUCAAUGAAGCCUUCUCGCAUAUCACACAGACUAUUACGUUGAAGGACUACCAACGAAAAUUUGAAAGGCUGGGAUUUGCAUACAUGGAUGGACCUAAAAGGCUCUUGUGGGCACGUUCAUGGGAGGCUUGCAACCUGAGAUUGUAGAGGGCAUCUACAUGUUUAAGCCUAAAACUUUAAAAGAGGCAAUUGGCUUAGUAAGGAUGAAAGAUGAACAGCUACAACGCAAAAGAAGGUUCACACGAUUAGCAUCACCAGCUUGCACCGAACUCACGCUUCCAUCCCCAGCACAAACUAUAGUUUCAUCACUCGUUAAGAGAAUCACUUGGGAUGAAAUGCAGAAAUAGAGAGCAUAAGGUCUUUGUUCAAUUGCAAUGACAGGUUUGCUGCUGGUCACUGACUCAUUAUUGUCGAUUUUAUCCUGCAAGUGAACGGAUCGUAACAAGUAGUAAAG
rnacentral:lncRNA from 1 species